rnacentral:rRNA from 1 species
CCGCCCGUCCCAGGCCAGCAUCAGUUCGCGCCGGGGGACAAAGGCGGCGGGAACGUGGCUCCCCAGGGAGUGUUAUAGCCCGCCGCGCCAUGCCCCGGGGGCGGACUGAGGCCCGCGCAUCACUGCAAGGAUGCUGGCGUAAUGGUCACCAGCGACCCGUCUUGAAACACGGGCCAAGGAGUCGUCCUCGUAUGCGAGUGUUCGGGUGUCAAACCCCUACGCGGAAUGAAAGUGAACGUGGGUGAGAGCUUCGGCGCAUCAUCGACCGAUCCUGAUGUUCUCGGAUGGAUUUGAGUAGGAGCAUACGGGGCCGGACCCGAAAGAAGGUGAACUAUGCCUGUGUAGGGUGAAGCCAGAGGAAACUCUGGUGGAGGCUCGCAGCGGUUCUGACGUGCAAAUCGAUCGUCAAACAUGGGCAUGGGGGCGAAAGACUAUCNACUUCNU